AACGCUAGCUACAGGCUUAACACAUGCAAGUCGAGGGGUAACGAGAGGAAAGCUUGCUUUCCUUGUCGACGACCGGCGCACGGGUGAGUAACACGUAUCCAACCUGCCGUCUACUCUUGGACAGCCUUCUGAAAGGAAGAUUAAUACAAGAUGGCAUCAUGAGUCCGCAUGUUCACAUGAUUAAAGGUAUUCCGGUAGACGAUGGGGAUGCGUUCCAUUAGAUAGUAGGCGGGGUAACGGCCCACCUAGUCUUCGAUGGAUAGGGGUUCUGAGAGGAAGGUCCCCCACAUUGGAACUGAGACACGGUCCAAACUCCUACGGGAGGCAGCAGUGGGGAAUAUUGGUCAAUGGGCGAGAGCCUGAACCAGCCAAGUAGCGUGAAGGAUGACUGCCCUAUGGGUUGUAAACUUCUUUUAUAAAGGAAUAAAGUCGGGUAUGGAUACCCGUUUGCAUGUACUUUAUGAAUAAGGAUCGGCUAACUCCGUGCCAGCAGCCGCGGUAAUACGGAGGAUCCGAGCGUUAUCCGGAUUUAUUGGGUUUAAAGGGAGCGUAGAUGGAUGUUUAAGUCAGUUGUGAAAGUUUGCGGCUCAACCGUAAAAUUGCAGUUGAUACUGGAUAUCUUGAGUGCAGUUGAGGCAGGCGGAAUUCGUGGUGUAGCGGUGAAAUGCUUAGAUAUCACGAAGAACUCCGAUUG
rnacentral:rRNA from 1 species